rnacentral:rRNA from 1 species
CCUACGGGUGGCAGCAGUGAGGAAUAUUGGUCAAUGGGCGGAAGCCUGAACCAGCCAAGUCGCGUGAGGGAUGAAGGUGCUAUGGAUUGUAAACCUCUUUUAUAAGGGAAUAAAGUGCGGGACGUGUCCCGUAUUGUAUGUACCUUAUGAAUAAGGAUCGGCUAACUCCGUGCCAGCAGCCGCGGUAAUACGGAGGAUUCAAGCGUUAUCCGGAUUUAGUGGGUUUAAAGGGUGCGUCGGCGGUCGGAUAAGUUAGCGGUGAAAGCCCGUGGCUCAACUUCGGACUUGCCUCUGAUACUGUUCGGCUAGAGCGUACUUGCGGUAGGCGGAAUGUGUGGUGUAGCGGUGACAUGCUUAGAUAUCAUGCAGAACACCGAUUGCGAAGGCAGCUUACCAAGCUACUUCUGACGUUGAGGCACGACAGCGUGGGUAUCGAACAGGCUUAGAUACCCCAGUAGUC